AGUUCUUCGAGCUUCGCUGCUACUACGGGUGCCGGCACCGCUGGGACCGCUGGGAUCACCGCUCCCUUGGAGAGAACCGCCACGCUUAAGAAUACGAUGAGCUAGAAUUUUGGAGAGAAACGACAUGGCUGACACUGGAAACUUGGACGAUCAACAAAGUGGAGGUGAAAGAAGCAGAGCAACGUAUUCUAAAGGAUCCUGAGGAUGUAAACGUUCAAUAGAGGAGGAGGCAUAAUAAAUCUACUUAGAGACCAAUCGGACAAUAUUACUCACGACUUUAGGCGACGACAUUCGAUGUAUAAUAACGUAAAUGUAUAAGAGAAGAGGAACGAUAGCAUCUAUCAUCGACCAGUUAAAAAUUGCCAUGUUUGUUUGCAAGAGGAUCGCCAGGAGACUGAUGCCUCAGGGUAAGAUUCGUCGUACUUUUAUACGCGUGAUGACUGUCGGUGUUUUCGUGUCAUCCGCCAACAAUAACCCGAGCUAUUCCUUGCACCCAAACACGAAUCGUGCACACCCGUCUUACACACGCAUACACACCGCCCCCACUUGAAUCUCUCCUUCUUUUAUUCGGGCUGCCUAUUACUCUGUUUCUUUUACCAUCCGAUGACCUCCUCAUAAAUGUUGCGAUGUCCAUACGUACAACUACGAGUCGAUGAGUAUGCGCGCUUAUGUUUCUUCAUAUCGUCGUGGCGUAUACACGCGACCUGUAUGCCAAUAUGUCGAAGAUACAGAGCCACUUCGAGGUCGUGCGACGAAACCGCGAACGUAAACCGUGAACUCCGCUGUAACCCUCUUGACGAAAGGUGUACGCACUUCCAAAAGUUUACGAUAUUGCGCGAUCGUUAUCGAUUAGCAUUUACGUCGCGCCUGCGACACCUUUGGCCAAGCCAGCACGCGAGAGAAAAAAGGGUUUCUUAACGCUAGACGAGUGAAGUAUGAGACCUGUAUCAGUGAAAUAGAAAGGAACGUGGAAAAUGUGUUGAUUGAAAGGGAAAGGAACACCUUUAACCCUAUAUUUUACAAAGAUCAUCGAUAUUCCUUAAAAUACACUGUUCGAAAUUUAGGAGAUUUCUAUGAAGAAUGACGAAUUGGUCAUUUUUACCGUUUUCUGAUUCCAGCGAUAAUACUUGCGUCGAAAGAAUGCUAACUGACCGUUCUGAUUCGAUCUUCGGUACAAUUUUAAAUUAAAAAGGAAUUCUUAACGUAUACAAUGGCAAAAAGUACCGGCUAUCGUCGUAUUUGUUGUAGCAUCUACGUACCGACUAACUGGACCCAAGUGUAUUAAAUCUCGAGCCAUUUAGCAGCACUUUGUGACGUGACUACAAAAAUUUGAUACCGUGAAAACGAAAUGAAGAUGAUCUAGUAAAAAAGGAGACAUUUCAUUGGGGAAGAAGCGUAUAUGGAAAUAUUUUUUGCAGCCGAUGUAUAUUAUUUGCGUUAAAUAGAUGCAAAAUGAAUCGAUAACGCUAUGAUAACAGCUAGCACCGAUACAUUAAUACAUUAAUGUGGUCGGAACAUGUGUCAAUCGAAUUCGUUUUAAAUUUGACACACGACCGCCGAAUUUUAAGUGCAAACGAAGUGUGAGCGGCCAUAUAAUUUGUAUGCUGAUACAUCGAGGAAAGUCAUUCGAGGUUAUUCGACGAAAUUACGAAAGGAUCGGACGCCGGAGAAACCUUUCGUUCGAAUCGAAGAAUAGAAGGAAGAGAUGAUUCAUAUAUGCUGACAUACACGAGAUGCUUUCGGUAAUUCUUCUUUAAUUCUGUUAUGUAUAUAAUAUAAUUAUCGUAAAAUAUAAAGAUAGAACGUUUAUCACGUUCAGGGAAAUUUUGCCUAUGCUUCCUUAAAUCUGUGUAAAAAGAAGUUAUCUGUGCGAAGAGACAAUGGAUAAUCUAUAAUUCGUCGAACUUUCUUUCGUAAGAAAACAUUGUGAAAGGAUUACGACAGCCGCUUGUAGUCGAUUCGUUCUUUAUUGUUAGAUCCCUUAUUUAUUAUGUACCACGCGUAUAAAUCGCAAUAAUUUAUAUUCAUUUUUGAUAUAUAUAUCGUCCACUUGUAAUAUGAUAUCUUUUAUCUAUAACAUAUAUUUUGCAGGAAAAUUAAAGGAUCAUUCGUUUCUGAUUGAAAGAAUAACUUUAUUCUGCUGUAAUACGAUCUUUAAAAUGCUACAGCAUAGAAAAGAAAGAUCGCCAAACAAUCUUCGUGGACUUACUUUGAAACGCGAUACUUCGAUUUUCUGAUCAUCAAAUUGUAUUUCCUCGUAGAUGCCUCUAUACUCGCAAAAAAAGACGUAAAAGUGAGGAUGACUUUUGUCACCAAAAAUGUAUGUUUUGAGCUAUUUCACUUUCCAUUCAAAGUGCCAUAGAACGGCGACGAAAGAUCGUAUAUCGACUAUUAAGAAAUCGUUGCCUUUAAAUCUGUUUUGAAACGAAUCGCGAAGAAAUUUCUUAAAUUUCACAGGCUUGUUCGAAUUUGUAGAAUUUUCGGAAUAAAAAAUGAUUUUCAUUUUCCCGUCCCGCUUCUAAGUAUAAAAGCGUCUUCGAGAAAAAUUAAUUUAGAGUUGAGAAAGUAGAGACUUUGCCAUCUGAAAUGAGCCCACGCUAAUAGUUGUACAAUCUGUCAUCAGGAAAUUACAGUACUUCAAAAAUUGAUAACAUUUUAAUUCAGAAUUGAUGAUCGUCUAACUUGCCUGCAAGGAUUUAAGUAAUAAAUAGCAAAUAAAAGAAAUAGGUAAAAGACCCAUUUUAUAAUUUCAGAAAACAAGGAUUUUCUAAUUUACGAUAUUUCACACAAAAAUAUUUACUUAAAUAAUCGUAUGGAAAUAUAAUUUAUUAAUUGAUAUCGAUGCAAUCGUACGAUCUAGAAAAAGAAAACACAGAUUUUAACUUUUAUUUAAAUUAAAAUGCAUCUAAUUAUAGAAUGUAGAAACAUAAUUAUGAGGAUGGGAAUAGCAAUGAUUACAAUAUAUUUUAAAAAAGUUUUUAAUAUAAACAUUUCAUUAUAAAAUAAUUGCAGUAUGUACAGUGUAAUAUGACUAGUUACAUAGUAAGCGGUACAAAACGGCAAAUAUAAAUUUCUUCUCUAUUACAAGCGAGCACUAAACAAUGCAUGACUUAAAUGACAUAAAAUUCAUUUCAUUUCCCAACGAAUGAAUCUUUUUCAUACUGAUACCAAUUUAAUGUUAUAUUCUGCUUGUUAAAACGAAAUGAGAAAAUAAAUUGAAGCUAAAAUUCU